rnacentral:rRNA from 1 species
AUGGGCGAAAGCCUGAUCCAGCAAUGCCGCGUGUGUGAAGAAGGCCUUCGGGUUGUAAAGCACUUUUGUCCGGAAAGAAAUCCUCUGGGUUAAUACCUCGGGGGGAUGACGGUACCGGAAGAAUAAGCACCGGCUAACUACGUGCCAGCAGCCGCGGUAAUACGUAGGGUGCAAGCGUUAAUCGGAAUUACUGGGCGUAAAGCGUGCGCAGGCGGUUUUGUAAGACGGAUGUGAAAUCCCCGGGCUCAACCUGGGAACUGCAUUCGUGACUGCAAGGCUAGAGUAUGGCAGAGGGGGGUAGAAUUCCACGUGUAGCAGUGAAAUGCGUAGAGAUGUGGAGGAAUACCGAUGGCGAAGGCAGCCCCCUGGGCCAAUACUGACGCUCAUGCACGAAAGCGUGGGGAGCAAACAGGAUUAGAUACCCUGGUAGUCCACGCCCUAAACGAUGUCAACUAGUUGUUGGGGAUUCAUUUCCUUAGUAACGUAGCUAACGC